rnacentral:sRNA from 1 species
AAGGGGUGGGGACACGUUGCGUCCGUGGUGCUGUUUGUGCAGGUGGCCUCUGGGAGGGCAGUUUCCAGAGAUGAAUUUCCUUCUCCUUGCCUGGCCCACCACUGCCUAGCCCCGUGGGCUCUGAGGCUGACGGAGAGAGACCCGCCACACCCCUGGGACACUUUGAAUCAAAGCCACCCAGAGUCAGAGUUUGGACGAUCAAGGUGGACCUACCCGCUCAGAAAGAGUGUGGGGCUUCUGUCAAGGGAGACCUCAACGACCUUCCUCUGAAAAGAAAAAUGUCCUUGCAAGUAGGUAAAUAA